rnacentral:rRNA from 1 species
UACGAAGGGGGCUAGCGUUGCUCGGAAUCACUGGGCGUAAAGCGCACGUAGGCGGAUUGUUAAGUCAGGGGUGAAAUCCUGGAGCUCAACUCCAGAACUGCCUUUGAUACUGGCGAUCUCGAGUCCGGGAGAGGUGAGUGGAACUGCGAGUGUAGAGGUGAAAUUCGUAGAUAUUCGCAAGAACACCAGUGGCGAAGGCGGCUCACUGGCCCGGUACUGACGCUGAGGUGCGAAAGCGUGGGGAGCAAACAGGAGUAGA